rnacentral:lncRNA from 1 species
UCGUUCUUUUUUAGUGGUAGUAGAUAAGAGAUUGCAGAACAUGGGAGACACAACACCAAAAACGGUACGAGAAGAAGCGGACACACACACAUAUCAUGCUUUAUUUGUCCAAAAACACAUAUCAUGCUUUAUGGAGUGAUUUUAUGGUCAUUGAUGGCUUGUCCUUUGCAGACGCCGUAGUACAGUAGUAGCUUCGAGAGAAGAUGGACGGCAUGGCUCCUUGUGGCAUAUGUAACUCACGUCGCUUUUGUGAGCAAAGCAGCUACUGCUCCUAGGUCAAAAGUCCUUUCUCAGCCUCGCCGCUAUUUUUGUGCCUUCUCCAUAGAUCCACGCAGCGUUCGUCCGCGGAGCACCACUAUACAGAUAGAAACAAAAAUAGGAGGAGCAAAAGGUUAACAGCAGAGCAGCGACGCGUCACUCACCGCCGGCCAUCGAACUGCGCGAUCAUGGCUACAACCCCGCAGCAGCCUUGCGCGCGCCCUCUAGCAGCCGUAGUAGUAGUAGUAUAGUCCCGUUUAGAUCAAAAUGAAAUCUCUGUCACUGGCAAAAGCGAGCCCGAUCAGCACAGCCCGGUCGGCGCGUGGAAG